ensembl:lncRNA
GCCUGGUCUCCAUGGUAAUCCCUGGCAGGUGGAAGUGAGGAAGAGGCUCAAUGCAGCCUUGGUAGCACUGGAUGCAGAUGUCUUAAUGGGGGUAUUGAACGGCAUUUUAAAAAAUGUGUGAGGACUGUUGUGAGCCUGAGGAGUCUGAGAGGCCCCCCAGGGACCACUUCGUGCUGUCAAUCGUGGCCUACCUCCUGUGUUGCCCCUUAGGCACUGCGGCUUUGUACUAUUCUAGGCAGACAAUGCGCUACAACUAUAGGAAUGAACAUGCCUUGGCAGUCAAGUCCUCCUGGAUGGCCCUCAGAUUAUCAAUUGCAUCAAUUAUUCUGGCAUGCAUCGGUAUGGUCAGCAUCUGCUUGAUGCUCACAGUGGACAAGUUAUCUCGGUAACCUGCUCUCCAGCUCAUGAACAAACCACCAAAUAUAUACAAAAGCAUUACUUACAUGGCUCAAAGUCUCCAUUUGGGCCCAGUGGGACACCAGUUCCUCAAUGUCUAGACUGCCAAGUGUUGCCAGCCUGGGCCAUCUCCUUGAGGUUGUUGAGGUGGGAAGGAAGUGUAGCUAUGGCCACCUAUUUGACCUAUUUGACCUGAGGCAAGACCAACCCUUGGACCCUAGCAAGGGAUGGGGGCCAUAGGUGAGAGGGUAGGGCACUGUUUGCCCCAGGGAAGCCUCCCCUCCUACCUACAUUCACGCAUUCAUGCCAUAUAUCUACUUAUGGCAACCACAAAGGGCCUUGAACAUGCUGCCUGACUCUGGGGACAUAGCAGUGACCACGUCAGAUCCAACCCCAUCCCCUCACAACUCACCAACCAGGUUUGCAGAUAGACACAUCAUCAAAUAGUGACAGUUCAGAGUGGUCCAAUCUCUAAGGGGAACCUAGGGAGGUGGGUUGUAAGAGGCCAGACCUGAUCUGGGGAACUCAGAUCUAACACAAAUCCAGGGAGUCAGGCAGCUGUUGGUGAACUGGUUAGAAUUGGCAUCAGGUUAUGACUGUAGAGACUUCUCUAACAGGUAUGGAUUGCCUCCUCUCCCAACUUUCCCCCAAAUCUUGUCAUUUAGUAAUCACUCAAAAAAUACAUUCUGAGCGCCUACAAUGUACCAGACAUUGUACCAGGAACUAGGAAUGCAACAGAGCAAGAUAAGAAGAUCUCUUUCUGAUGGAGCUUACAUUCUGGCAGGGAAGAAAACCAGAAACAAAUAGACCUCAAACACACAAGGUAAUUACAGGGAAUGGUAAAUGCUGUGGAGCAAAUAAGACAGGAUAAUAAGCUUAAGCAGUGCCAGUACAGGUCCACCAACCGUUAACAGUUUGCAACUCGAUAAGUGCAGAAAUUGCCAGUAAGUGCUUCCAAACCUACAGCAACUUGACAUUUUCGUGACAUUCAAGUAUACGAUCAGGAGCCCUUUCUAGUUGCACACAGUAUAGACCAAAAGGGUCAGUCCAUCACAGAUUGAAAAUCUGAAAAACAGUUUCUACUCCACAACGACAAUAGUUUCAGAAGCACUGCGCUAGUGGGCAAUGACAUCUAGAAGGCAUAGUGGUUAGGAUCAUCCUCGCAGCUGUAACACAUAAACCCCACCAUGUCAAAGCUCAAUAGGAGAAGUUUAUUUCACAAUCACAGAACCUCCCAAUGUGGGCAUCAGCUGGCUCAAAUAUUGUGUCAGGGAUCGAGUCUUUUUCCAUUCGGUGAUUCCACCAUCUCCUAAAGGCUCAGGGUCCUUUGAAUCCAGGCAGAAGACAAGAGGGUGGAGAACCCCUGCUUGCUUCUUAAAAUGCUUGGCCUGAACGUGAACCUUGGACACUCUUGGUGGGAAUGUCAAUUUCAAUAGCCAUGAUGGAUAACAGUAUGGAGGUCCUCAAAAAAUUAAAAAUAGAACCACCAAAUGCUCAAGCAACCCACUUCUGGGUAUAUGUCCAAAGGAAUUAAAAUCACUGUUUCAACAA